rnacentral:rRNA from 1 species
UACGUAGGGUGCGAGCGUUAAUCGGAAUUACUGGGCGUAAAGUGUGCGCAGGCGGCAGAGCAAGUCGAGUGUGAAAGCCCCGGGCUUAACUUGGGAAUUGCGCUCGAAACUACUUUGCUGGAGUGUGGCAGAGGAAGGUGGAAUUCCACGUGUAGCGGUGAAAUGCGUAGAGAUGUGGAGGAACACCAAUGGCGAAGGCGGCCUUCUGGGCCAACACUGACGCUCAUGCACGAAAGCGUGGGGAGCAAACAGG